CAUCGCCACGGGAAUACGUAGGUGGCAAGCGUUGUCCGGAAUUAUUGGGCGUAAAGGGCUCGCAGGCGGUUUCUUAAGUCUGAUGUGAAAGCCCCCGGCUCAACCCGGGAGGGUCAUUGGAAACUGGGAAACUUGAGUGCAGAAGAGGAGAGUGGAAUUCCACGUGUAGCGGUGAAAUGCGUAGAGAUGUGGAGGAACACCAGUGGCGAAGGCGACCCUCUGGUCUGUAACUGACGCUGAGGAGCGAAAGCGUGGGGAGCGAACAGGAUUAGAUACCCCCGUAGUCCCUGUCUCUUAUACA
rnacentral:rRNA from 1 species